UACGAAGGUCCCAAGCGUUAUCCGGAUUUAUUGGGUUUAAAGGGUGCGUAGGCGGCCAACUAAGUCAGACGUGAAAUCCCUCGGCUUAACCGGGGAACUGCAUCUGAUACUGGAUGGCUUGAGUUCGGGAGAGGGAUGCGGAAUUCCAGGUGUAGCGGUGAAAUGCGUAGAUAUCUGGAGGAACACCGGUGGCGAAGGCGGCAUCCUGGACCGACACUGACGCUGAGGAGCGAAAGCCAGGGGAGCAAACGGG
rnacentral:rRNA from 1 species